rnacentral:lncRNA from 1 species
UCCUAAACUUUUCCCCCCAGUAAUGCAAGCCGGUAAAAUGGUAAACGCAGCAGUUUGGUGACAUCCAAAACCGACCUGUUGUCAGAAUAAUAAAACUGGUAGGUGGCAGCAGCAGCAGCAGCAGCAGCAGAAGACACUCAUGACUGUGACCUGAAAAACCUCCAGUACUGGGAGAAAUGGAUUGCAAAAUACUAACUGGAGUAAGGGGAAUGGAGAAGAGAGGCAGAGUCCCUGAACUGUCCCUUUGAAUGGAAUCUAAUGCUUGUGAAAGAUGCUGGAUCACCAGGUGCAGAGAUUGAACUCUACCCACUGGAAAGGUUUUUCUACAGCGACAGGAGGUCUUCCCUUGCAUCUCAUGGGAACACUUAGCGUUUUGAUAAUGCCUCCUUCACAAUGAAGGGAAGAAAGGAUGGAUCAGCAGGGAUGUGCAAUGGAGUGAUGUCCACACAUGGCAUUAACGGUCAUGAUCCCUGUCCUCACUUGGAGAAUUGAAUAAAAGAGUUGAAUUGUAAUUCA